UAUGGAUCGAGGGUGGACUUAUAAACUGGACUCAUAUCACCGUUGCCGACAGCUCAAAUGGAAUAAUGGUUCACAACGAUCAGCUGCUUAAUCAAUUUUCUGGACGCUUGAUGAAAUCAGUGAUCGUGGACGACACCGA